UCAUUUUUAAUCCAAAUUAAGUGAUUCAAAAGGCAAACUUCAAGAGAAUUUCGAGGGGAAUCUAGCGGUGAUCUCGAAAACGCGAGGGGAGGCUUCGUUGAGGUCCGAGCACUAGUAGCCAGCGUUGAUCGAGCUUGGAGUAGACUUAUCUGGAGACGGGGGUGAGCACACGGCGUUCUGUACUAUUUCGGUCUCCAUCUGUAUAUAUAGACUUGUCUUCUUCCCUUCGAGACAGUCCAGUCUCUGUUGUCCAGUUUUGGGACUUGUACUCAUUUUGUAGUAGCUCUGUACUAGUGACUUCCAGGUUCUGGGAGGGAUCUUUAUUUGUAUAUAAGUUUUUGGUUUGCGU